rnacentral:rRNA from 1 species
UACGUAGGUGUCAAGCGUUGUCCGGAUUUAUUGGGCGUAAAGAGCGUGUAGGCGGCUAGAUAGGUCCGUUGUGAAAACUCGAGGCUCAACCUCGAGACGUCGAUGGAAACCAUCUGGCUAGAGUCCGGAAGAGGAGAGUGGAAUUCCUGGUGUAGCGGUGAAAUGCGCAGAUAUCAGGAAGAACACCCGUGGCGAAGGCGGCUCUCUGGUACGUGACUGACGCUGAGGCGCGACAGCGUGGGGAGCAAACAGG